UUACAGAUUAAGUAAAUAAAGCUGCCUUGUAUAUCAACUUGAUAAGACAUUAAAUAUUUGAACUGAGUUUUAAUCUACUAUCAAGUAAGAUUACCAUUUGCUGCUUGAAAAAAGAAAAAUAAAUCCUACAUUACACAACAAAAAAGAAAAAUACAGGAUCAACAAUGUUAAAGGCAGCAACAAACCAGACAGAUUUGAGAGUACAGAAGUUUGACACAAUUGAGACACAUCUGUAUGGAGAAGAAAUGCCACUGAAGCAGCUUGCAGAGCCAAAAAAGAUUGAGCAACUACCAUUCGAAAGUACUCGAUAUUAUGGAGCACCGAUUAUACUUCCACCACUCUACCUGACAGCUGGAUUCAAACAUUUUAAAGUUGCAACGAACAUCAAAUGAAAACCGUCAAACUGCAAGGAUAAAGAGCUGGACUAACAGCGACACAACUUCACAACACCACCAAAGUUGUGAAAAACUUUGUUUGUAUAUUGUAUAAUAAUAUAUCUGACAAACAGGAUAACUGACUUGAAUACUAUGAGAAAUCAUGACAAUGAAUGUUUUUCCCAACCCUUGACCCCUUAACAAUUCCUCUCUCUUUAUGCCCUAACAAUGCAAAGCCUUUGAUGAAUACUUUGGAAAGAACACGUAAAUGGAUGUUCAUCUUCAACAGAACAAUUUUAAAUUAUUUUCAAAGCGCAGCUGUCCUUAAAGUACUGGUAGCUAGCUAACUUUAGCCCAGCCUAUACAGUGCUUUUGGAAUCGUUUAUGCUUUAUUUAAGAACUCGAUGUGAGAUGGAACAUUCAUCCUUUUGUCAUCAUUCAAGCAAAUUGCAUGAACAAGAAUGUUAUCAUGUAUAGGCUAUUAUUAAUAACGAAUUAACAAAAACAAAUUUUUUUUUUUUUUUUUUGACACUCCAUAAUUACAUGGAUAGCGUAUGUUUUUAUAAAUAUUUUUGCGUAAAUAUUUCUAUCAUAGCAUGAUUGUGCUGCUUCAAGAUUUUUGCAUAAUUUCAAAAAUAAAAACUGAUAUUUACCAAAA